AACAAGAUCAACUCUAGUUGAGAGUUGGGAAUGGCCUAAUUCACCGUGUGUGUAUCUGGCUUGAAUUUAUCGAGUUGAUGAGCUUCCCAGUGUGACUCAAUGUGUGCUAGCGAGACAGUCGUCCCGAUCUCACAUUUAAUGUUGCAUUGCAGAGUUCUGUCCACAGCUCGCUAAAAAUCACAAUCAA
rnacentral:misc_RNA from 1 species